GUCUAGCUGACGAGUCCCAAAUAGGAUGAAACAUACGUUUUGAAU
rnacentral:hammerhead_ribozyme from 1 species